rnacentral:rRNA from 1 species
AUUGAACGCUGGCGGUAUGCUUAACACAUGCAAGUCGAACGGUAGCAGGCCUUCGGGCGCUGACGAGUGGCGGACGGGUGAGUAACGCGUAGGAAUCUGCCUCAUAGUGGGGGACAACGUGUGGAAACGCACGCUAAUACCGCAUACGCCCUACGGGGGAAAGCGGGGGACCUUCGGGCCUCGCGCUAUGAGAUGAGCCUGCGUUAGAUUAGCUAGUUGGUAGGGUAAAGGCCUACCAAGGCGACGAUCUAUAGCUGGUCUGAGAGGACGAUCAGCCACACUGGGACUGAGACACGGCCCAGACUCCUACGGGAGGCAGCAGUGGGGAAUAUUGGACAAUGGGCGCAAGCCUGAUCCAGCAAUACCGCGUGUGUGAAGAAGGCCCUAGGGUUGUAAAGCACUUUCAAUAGGGAGGAAAACCUGUCGGUCAAUACCCGGCAGCUUGACAUUACCUAUACAAGAAGCACCGACUAACUCCGUGCCAGCCGCCGCGGUAACAC